rnacentral:tRNA from 3 species
GGCCUGUUCGUCAAGUGGUUAAGACACCGCCCUUUCACGGCGGGUUCAUGGGUUCGAAUCCCGUACAGGUCACCA